ACGAACGCUGGCGGCGUGCCUAAUACAUGCAAGUAGAACGCACGGUUUAUACCGUAGCUUGCUACACCAUAGACUGUGAGUUGCGAACGGGUGAGUAACGCGUAGGUAACCUGCCUGGUAGCGGGGGAUAACUAUUGGAAACGAUAGCUAAUACCGCAUAAUAUUAAUUAUUGCAUGAUAAUUGAUUGAAAGAUGCAACUGCAUCACUACCAGAUGGACCUGCGUUGUAUUAGCUAGUAGGUGAGGUAACGGCUCACCUAGGCGACGAUACAUAGCCGACCUGAGAGGGUGAUCGGCCACACUGGGACUGAGACACGGCCCAGACUCCUACGGGAGGCAGCAGUAGGGAAUCUUCGGCAAUGGACGAAAGUCUGACCGAGCAACGCCGCGUGAGUGAAGAAGGUUUUCGGAUCGUAAAGCUCUGUUGUAAGAGAAGAACGGGUGUGAGAGUGGAAAGUUCACACUGUGACGGUAUCUUACCAGAAAGGGACGGCUAACUACGUG
rnacentral:rRNA from 1 species